rnacentral:lncRNA from 1 species
AACAGUAUACAUUUUUCAUAGUAUAGCAGGGUCCUUCCUCAAGGGGACCUGUCUGCCUUUUCAUUCAGUGGAUUCUGGGUCUGUAAAUGUAAGAACCAUAUUUUCAAACACUAUUAUAGUUUACAAUAUAUUUUAAGUUUUAUAAAUAAGUAUUCUUGCUCCAACCACUAAAUUCCAUGUCUACUAAAAAAGAAAUGUCAUGGUUUUUCUUUGUCAUUUCUAUUUGAAAUGAGAUUUUUGUAUCGCUCUCUCUUCCCUGAACACACAUAUUUGGUAUUUUGACU